GGGGAAUAUUGGACAAUGGGCGAAAGCCUGAUCCAGCCAUGCCGCGUGUGUGAAGAAGGCCUUUUGGUUGUAAAGCACUUUAAGUGGGGAGGAAAAGCUUGUGGUUAAUACCCCUAAGCCCUGACGUUACCCACAGAAUAAGCACCGGCUAACUCUGUGCCAGCAGCCGCGGUAAUACAGAGGGUGCAAGCGUUAAUCGGAAUUACUGGGCGUAAAGCGAGCGUAGGUGGCUGGUUAAGUCAGAUGUGAAAGCCCCGGGCUUAACCUGGGAACUGCAUCUGAUACUGGACAGCUAGAGUAGGUGAGAGGGGAGUAGAAUUCCAGGUGUAGCGGUGAAAUGCGUAGAGAUCUGGAGGAAUACCGAUGGCGAAGGCAGCUCCCUGGCAUCAUACUGACACUGAGGGUCGAAAGCGUGGGGAGCAAAC
rnacentral:rRNA from 1 species